AUUGAACGCUGGCGGCAGGCCUAACACAUGCAAGUCGAGCGGUAGAGAGAAGCUUGCUUCUCUUGAGAGCGGCGGACGGGUGAAUAAUGCCUAGGAAUCUGCCUGGUAGUGGGGGAUAACGUUCGGAAACGGACGCUAAUACCGCAUACGUCCUACGGGAGAAAGCAGGGGGCCUUCGGGCCUUGCGCUAUCAGAUGAGC
rnacentral:rRNA from 1 species